rnacentral:rRNA from 1 species
GUGCUCGAGUGGCGAACGGGUGAGUAACACGUGAGUAACCUGCCCUUGACUUUGGGGUAACUUCAGGAAACUGGGGCUAAUACCGGAUAGGAGCUCCUGCUGCAUGGUGGGGGUUGGAAAGUUUCGGCGGUUGGGGAUGGACUCGCGGCUUAUCAGCUUGUUGGUGGGGUAGUGGCUUACCAAGGCUUUGACGGGUAGCCGGCCUGAGAGGGUGACCGGCCACAUUGGGACUGAGAUACGGCCCAG